rnacentral:rRNA from 1 species
UACGUAGGGGGCAAGCGUUGUCCGGAUUUAUUGGGCGUAAAGAGCGUGUAGGCGGUUUGGUAGGUCCGCUGUGAAAACUCGAGGCUCAACCUCGAGACGCCGGUGGAAACCAUCAGGCUAGAGUCCGGAAGAGGAGAGUGGAAUUCCUGGUGUAGCGGUGAAAUGCGCAGAUAUCGCUUGGAACGCCGAAGGUGAAAACAGGUCGCUGGGGAUGUGCCGACGCUGAGACACGAAAGCCAGGGGAGCGAACGGG